AAGAUGCUAAUACCGGAUAACAACAGAUGAUGCCUAUCAACUGUUUAAAAGAUGGUUCUGCUAUCACUCUUGGAUGGACCUGCGGUGCAUUAGCUAGUUGGUAGGGUAACGGCCUACCAAGGCGAUGAUGCAUAGCCAGUUGAGAGACUGAUCGGCCACAUUGGGACUGAGACACGGCCCAAACUCCUACGGGAGGCAGCAGUC
rnacentral:rRNA from 1 species